rnacentral:rRNA from 1 species
AAAAACAUAGCCCUAAGAAAAUGAUAUAGGGUGAUACCUGCUCAAUGAAAGUAUUUAAAUAGCCGCGGUACCUUGACCGUGCUAAGGUAGCAUAAUCAGUUGACUUUUAAAUGAAGUCUGGAAUGAAGGGAGUUACGGGAUCAAGCUGUCUCUAUUUUUUCAUUAUGAAUUUACUAACCAGGUGAAAAGGCCUGGAAAAGAUAAAAGACGAGAAGACCCUUAGAGUUUUUUAAUGAUUUUGUUGGGGCGACAAAGAAUCUGAACAUUCUCGAUAUUAUAAGACGGAUUUAUCAUGAACAGAUAAACUACCUGAGGGAUAACAGCAUUAUCUUUUAAGGUUUGUGACCUCGAUGUUGGACUAGGAAGCCUAUAAGCUAGCCGCUUAUACGGGUGGUUCUGUUCGAACUAUUACUCCUACAUGAUCUGAG